rnacentral:misc_RNA from 1 species
UCCUUCUCUCCAUCCCCCGGGAUGUGGCAUUGGAACCCACGUUGGCCUCGACCAACUGGUUCUCAAAAAUAAUGACGGCGUCCGUGGGACCCUCGAUACACCGAGCUUUUUCGAGAGCACGUAUCGAGUUGCAAGGACCUUCCGGGCCGGUCUGACCCCAAUCUUUCUCA